CUGUGUAUAUAAAAUGAUUUAAGAUGCGCUGGAUUAUUCACAGAAUAUUAUUAUUAUAUAUAUAUUUUUAACACAAUAUCAAUAUUUAAUUUUAAAUAUCACGGUAACCGUCAAUACCGGUAUAUCGCAACCCCCCUAAUUUACAUUUUGCAAGAAUUUAUACUUUUACAUUUCACUGUAGACAUAUUGCACUUUUUAAUCCACUAAAUGUACCUGAUGGCUGUAAUUAAACCACCUACAACAUUAAAAUACCUCUUGCACAUUAGUGCAUUUUAGUACUUUAACUUUUGUACUAAGGUACAAAAUGCUCCUUUACUUUUAUGUAUGUUGGAACUUGUAGGUUUUUUUUUCCAUUUUGGUGUUGCAAUGUUUUUUUAAAAUAGAUUUUAUUUCUUCAGCUGAGUUAUUUAACGAGAAUUUUUUUUUUUUUACAUUAUUACCUACAUAUCCAGUUUCCCACAUGGUUUCUGCAGUGAGAAUCAUCUGCUGCUGACUACAAUGGAAUUAAUCUGAGUGUACAAUUUUAAAUAUAGAUAUGUUUAAUAUAUUCAAUUCAAUGAACGCAGGUUGAUGGAAAAUAAGAGCAAAAGGGUUGGAGAGUUUUUUUUUUUUAAAUGUCAAUCAUAUUUUAUUUUGCACAUUUAUGAUUGUUUUUUUGUUAUUUGGUAGCCUGUAGUUAAAAUCCCAUCAGUGAUCAUUUUUUACCUUUAAUAUUUGUCUUUACUGUUUCUGUUGAAUUCAACUGUACAUUAUAGGGAUGCACGAUAAAGAUUUGUUUCAGCCGAUAACCAAUAAUUACCUGCUUUUACAUGGCUGACCAAUGAGAUAACCGAUAAUUUCACAUUUUUGUAUUUUCAUAAUCUUUAAUUUCAUAAACUUUAGUUUCUUAUGCACACCUGAGGUGGAUGACUUAAUAUUCCAUAGCUCUGAUCUAACCAAAUCUAACUGACAUCCCUAUUGUUAACACAACAAAAACAAACAACAGUUCUGACUCUUCAAAUAUUCAUUUAUGUUUUCUACUAAAGAACAUCAAACAUCUUCACACACAUACUUUGGCUUUUAUAGAGCAUUUUGGCCAAGAACUCAAAUUAAAUAUUUUGACAUAAUCUGUCAAAUCAGACAUAUCAAUGUGUACUCAAUACACGUGUAAAUUGGCGGAUCGCAAACCAACUUUAAACGUGCAUAACGCCUCCUACUGUAUCAAAAUGUGUAGAUGCUGCGCUUGUUAAGUAAAUUAAGGCUAUUUGGCUUUGCAUUAUCGGCAGAUGAUUUAUUGGUUAUAAUUUCAUUAUAGGAAUAAUACAUAAUAAUAUAAAUUUCCCAUUGUCGUCCGAUAAUUUAUCGGUCCGAUAUAUAUCGUGCAUCCCUAGUACAUUAUUAUUCCAUUUGUCACAUCAUUUGUGAUAUGCCAUACAGCAGGUGAUUGAUGCCUAACCUACGCUGAGGUUAUAAGAUUAUAGGUGAUAUAAGUACAUGUUGAGUGUAUGUCUGUAUAGCAGGACUGGGAUCAGUUCAUUGUAAAUUCUGUUAUUCCUACAUAUACUUUUGUAAAUGGCAACGUUGAUUACAAAAAGUGCAUUUUCCAGACAAUCCUGGUUUAAAGGUUUUUGAAAACAAAAACAUUCUUCUUGGUCAGAAUGUAAAUGUUAAAUCUUCUCUCUGAUAUAAUUGAAAGUGAACUGCACAACAGCCCUGUUAUGUGACAUAAGUUAUGCCUCUUGGCCUGUGUUACCAGCUCCAAAGGGAGAUGCUGAUCAUAGAUACAUUUUAUUUUACAGUUCUUUGUUGCCAUGUGGAUAAUUCUAAACAACUGCUCAUCCACAUAUUUUUUUUAUAGUAGAUGUGACCAUAUGCAGGCCAAUGUCCUGUACUGUCAACUCAAUAACCUGCUCGAGUCCUUUAACAGCCACUGGAGUGUGUUGGAUAUACGACACACCUCUGUGCCUUCAUUUCCCUCUGCUUGGCUACAGUCACGCUGUUGGUUAUCAUAUUGCACAUAUGGUAACUCCCUGUGCAGUCUGCAUUCAAAUCUGCUAGUUAGUUUACUGUGUGAAGGUUCAGAAAUCUUACACAAAUGAGGUGAAAGGGGUUUGAAGUAGUAAGGAACCCUCAACUAAAUUAUGUAGGAAACUGUAGGAAAUUGUAGGAAAUGUAAAUAUUCCAGAUUAAACAACAUCUGGAUCCAGUUACACUCACAGCCUAUAAUCUCAGUGCAUUAUACACUGCACUCUGCCAUGACAUACAUUAGGGUCUGAUUAAGACAGUGUUACACACAUGAACCAUAUUGAACCUCAUGAGCCUGAACAGAACGACGAAGGAUCGAAGAAGCACAGAAAAACAAGAAAUCUCAACGAAUGACUAAACCAGCAUUAACUCUCUUUGUGUUCUCCUGCAAUAAAUAAACCUCACAAACAUUUUAACUUCCAAGCAGUCACCAUCACUUGAUCAUUUCUCUUGCGCACCCGCAGAUAAAUAUUUGGUGUGCAAGCAUUUCAAAACUUUAUUUCAAAAACCUGAUAUUUGUAAGUACUUGGCUACUUUUAGGUUGAUUCCCCUUUAAGAGGCUAGAAGGCUCAGGUGGAUCUGUUAUUUUUGCCUUCUGCUAACCAACUAAGUGACAUGCUAACCAGACCACUGAAAUGUAUUACUGCACAAGUCACCCUUUGUUGCUCUGAUUAUGUGUUGUUGCUGGCUGCUACCUGUAAUGUGAAAUUGCAACAGAUAGUGAUGGAUGUUAUUCCCUAUUUAAGUGAUCUAACUACAGUAGAUAUGUUUAUGCAUAUUGUUUGUAUUGUUUGUGUAAUAGUUUUUUUUUUGUAAAUCUACCUACACAUAAAGCCAUUGACUGCAAAUUUGACAAUCUUUGGUGUUAUUUUUGACCAUUUCUAAUAGCUUCUGGCUGUUUUCAAAGUUAUUUAAAGGUGCAGUGUGUGGGAUCUGGCGGCAUCUAGUGGUGAGGUUGCAGAUUGCAACCAAGUAAAACUUCUCCCAUGUGCCAAGCGUGUAGGAGAAUUAUGGUGGCCGAUGCGAAAACGUGAAUGGCCCUGUAUAGAAAAAAUGCUUGGUUUUUCCGUUCCGGGCUACUGUAGAAACAUGGCGGCCGGCUCUGUGGAGAUGACCCGCUCCCUAUGUAGAUAUAAACGUCUCAUUCUAAGCUAACGAAAACACAACGAUUCUUAUUUUCAGAUGAUUAUUAGGGGUGUAACGAUCCUUCAAUCCGGAUCGAUGGAUAUCGAAUCCAUUAUCAUUAAUGUGAAGUGAAAACAUCGAUACAUAUCAUCAUCUUUAAGAUACGCCUUUAUUUUGAAGUUCCCAUGGCACAUCUGUUUCACCAUUUCUGUCCACCUGUCCAAGUAUUCCUAAACAUCCAAACAGUGCUAAGCUUCGGUUAUGCUAUCCGCAACAAUGGCCGCACAGACAUGAGCUGACGUGGAAUCAUGACAAGGAAACUUAGUGAGCGGUGCUAGCAGCAUAACAUUAGCAAUUGUGCGGUCGGCUGAGCAAGAGAGAGAGAGGGAUAGGGAGAGAGAGAGAGAGAGAGAGACAGAGAGUGAGAGAGAAAUAGAGAGAGACACAGAGAGACAGAGAGAGAGAGAGAUAGAGAGAGAGAGAGAAUGAGAGAGAAAGAGAGAAGAGAGAGAGAGAGAGAGAGAGAGAGACACAGAGUAAAGACCCCAUAUGCCGGAUUCUCAUCUGCAGGGUAUCCAGUUUCACCCUGCAGCGUCUCCCUGGGUGGUUCCUGUGAGUUCAGGCUUGAAGCCAUGAAAGACUCACUAUUGCAACCACUGAUAGGCUGAUAGACUCUGGUGCCUAAAUAAGGCACCCGUACAGUCCAUCACUACAGU